rnacentral:piRNA from 1 species
UCUAGAAACCAGUUGGACAGUGCUCC